AUGACGACGGACAAUGCCAGAAUCCCAAAGUCGUCGUCGUGGCCGAGGAGGACGAGGACGGCGGUGAGGAGAUGGCUGAGCCUCAAGAGCAGCGCACAGCCGUCGUUCCAUUCAGACUGCACCGGUGAUAGGUUUGGCAUCAGAGGGCAGGAGCAGGGGAGGCGCAAGAGCUGCUCGGACAGGGAUGGCAGCCGGCGAGAUCUGUCAGGUGAAGCGGGGUGGUUGGUGGAGGAGGGCCGCGAGAAUCUGAUGCCUCCCCUACGGCAUGGGCAGAGCUCGUCGUGGCAGCCUCCCAAGGAGCUCAGGGUGCUGGUGGGGACGUGGAACGUGGGCGGGAGAGCGCCGCACCAAGGGCUCGACCUCUCCGAAUGGCUCCUCGACCAACAUGACUCUUCCUCACCUCCCCACAUCUAUGUUCUCGGCUUCCAGGAAAUAGUGCCGCUGAACGCUGGGAAUGUUCUCGGGGCGGAGGACAGGGUCCCCGCUUCCAAGUGGCUCGACCUUAUUGGCCAAGCCUUGAACCCUUCCUCCUUGGAGAGAAGCAACAAUUAUCACCACGGUCACCGGUGCACCGCUGCCGAGGAGGCGACCCUUGAAUGUAGCCAGAAGACCAAGGUCAUCUUCUCGGACAUACCGGUGAUGGACGAUGCAGUAUCAGAGCUUGAGGAGGAGGAGGAGGAGGAUAGUGAGUCUUCCACGUCAAACCCAGAGUCGAGCAGCGAGGAGGAGGUGAACGAGUUUGCGAUGAUGUUGCAAGAAAGGGCGAGGCACGGGUACCGCCUAGCAGCGAGCAAACAGAUGGUGGGCAUCUUCCUCUGCGUGUGGAUCCGGGCGGACGUCAUGCCACGUGUCACCGGCCUCAGGGUCUCCUGUGUUGGUAGGGGCAUCAUGGGGUACAUGGGAAACAAGGGGUCCAUCUCGAUCAGCCUGACGCUGCAAGGUGGCAGCUCGGCGGUGGCGUCGACGAGCCUGUGCUUCGUGUGCACGCACCUGGCGUCCGGCGAGAAGGACGGCGACGAGGUGCGCCGGAACAGCGACGUCGCGGAGAUCCUCAAGCGCACGAGGUUCCCGCGGCCCCACCGGUUCUCCAGACUGCCGGCGUCGGCACCGUCGUCGCCGGAGACCAUCUUGGAGCACGACAAGGUCAUCUGGCUCGGCGACCUGAACUACCGGCUGUCGUCGACGGGCGGCGGCGGCGGGGGCGAUGGCGAGACCCGGGGGCUGCUGGAGCGGAACGAGUGGCGGGCGCUGCUGGAGCGGGACCAGCUGCGCGCGGAGCAGCGGGCCGGGCGCGUGUUCGGCGGCGGGUGGGAGGAAGGCGAGAUCCGGUUCCCGCCGACGUACAAGUACCUGGCCGAGUCCGACACAUACGCCAUGGCCGCCCUGAGCUCCUCCGCCGCCGCCGGCAGGCCGUCGCGGGAGAAGAAGAAGCGCACGCCGGCAUGGUGCGACCGCAUCCUGUGGCGCGGCGAGGGCGUGGAGCAGGCGUGGUACGAGCGCGGGGAGUCGCGCUUCUCCGACCACCGCCCCGUCAACUCCCUCUUCUCCAUCCGCCUGCACCACGCCGACGACGCUGCCCGCAGCCUGCCGGCCGCCGCCAAGACGUGCUGCCGGCAAGGCAGGAGGCGACCACCCGGCAGCAGGGCCACGACGGCGACGACGGCGCGCGAGGCAGCGACGCGCGGCGGCGCGGUUAUCGAGGCGGAGGAGAUGCUCGUCGAGAGGCUCGUGCCGCCGCGGGACUGCCGCUGCCUCCAGUCCUCCAGAUUCUGA
rnacentral:rRNA from 1 species